AUUGACGUUAGCGUCAGAAGAAGCACCGGCUAACUCCGUGCCAGCAGCCGCGGUAAUACGGAGGGUGCGAGCGUUAAUCGGAAUUACUGGGCGUAAAGCGCACGCAGGCGGUUUGUUAAGCUAGAAGUGAAAGCCCCGGGCUCAACCUGGGAAGGCCUUUUAGAACUGGCAAGCUAGAGUCUUGGAGAGGGGAGUGGAAUUCCAGGUGUAGCGGUGAAAUGUUUUGAUAAGGUGGAGGAACAUCAGUGGCGAAGGCGGCUCCCUGGCCAAAGACUGACGCUCAUGUGCGAAAGUGUGGGCAGCCUUCAGAUUAGAUACCCUGGUAGUCCACACCGUAAACGCGUCUUCUAGCUGUGUGUGAAUUUAAUUUGUGCGUAGCGAAGCAAACGCGCU
rnacentral:rRNA from 1 species